rnacentral:rRNA from 1 species
GUGGAUUAGAUACCCUGGUAGUCCACGCCCUAAACGUUGAUUACUCGUUGUUGGCGAUAUACUGUCAGCGACCAAGCUAAAGCGUUAAGUAAUCCACCUGGGAAGUACGACCGCAAGGUUGAAACUCAAAGGAAUUGACGGGGGCCCGCACAAGCGGAGGAGCAUGUGGUUUAAUUCGAUGAUACGCGAGGAACCUUACCUGGGCUUGAAAGUUAGUGACCUUCUGUGAAAGCAGAAUUCUCUUCGGAGCACAAAACUAGGUGCUGCACGGUCGU